UCUGGUCAUGCUUGACUCCUUGUACGCCACCGGCAGCCGAUUUUAAA
rnacentral:sRNA from 1 species